UCAUCAAGAUGUCAGUCUCCCAC
rnacentral:piRNA from 1 species